rnacentral:sRNA from 1 species
CUUGCUUUGAGCCUUCGAGUAGUGUCGCUGUUGCUUUCCUUCCUCCUGUACCACAGCUAGCUGUGCGCGGCGGCACGGCCACGCUUCAGCUCGCUUCUUUCUUUAAUUUUUUUUCUUCUUCUUCUUUGUUUUUAAAUUUUUUUCUUUCGUGUUUGUUAUUUAAAUUUUUACCGGUGGUAUGAUCGAUCGAUCGAUUCUUGAUGUACGAUGCAUUGGUUGUCAGUCCGCAUUUCUUCUGGUGAUCAGCGGGUGGUUGGUGAUGAUGGUUAGUGAAAGAUCUCUUGGUGUCAGCUCGCUAUGUACGUUAAUUACUACUUUUUUUUGGUUCUAUAGAGGGAAGAUUUGUGUAUAUUUUUGGUGUAUCAUUUUCGGUGGCAGUUGAAUAAAAAAUCUCCAUGCAGCUC